ACUCUUUAUUAUGUCCAUGCUCCCACUACAAGUUACGCCUCCGUCAGGACGCAUACAGACCCUACUCUACGAUCGUGUACUACACGUAGUUCUUUCCUUGAGAGACACCAUGGCUCGCAAACGAGCGAAGCAUAGCAGUUGCUUAGUGUUUGGAUGUACAAAUGAAUACAAAAGUCUAUAUUUUGUUCCUUCCUCCGAGCCGCUGAAGAACCAGUGGGUUAAUUUUAUUGUCUCUGGAAAUGCGCCAGUCUGCGCCAAACAUUUCACUGACGACUGCUUCCUCAACUUGGGCCAAUACAGAGCUGGACUUGAUCAACGUCUGAAAAUCAAGUCUGGAUCAGUACCAACUCUCCAUGGCCCAGCUACAAACCUCGAAAAAGCCAGCUCAUCAAGUGCUUACAUUCAACAGCUUCUCUCAAGGGAUGUUGCCUGCCAGACAGACCACCUGGAAACACGUACUGUAGGCACACGGCUAUCCUUAAAGACUUCGCAGCCCCAUUUUAAAAGUGAAGAAGACUGCGAUGCCUUUGGAGACCGUAUCACUCAGCGCGGCGCCACCUCAGAGAGUCUGGGUGUGGACGCCCCUGGCUCCUCCCACUGGUCCAGUCGUAGCGAGGAACUGCUGCAGACCCCAGACACCAUUUCAAUCAAGGUUGAAGAGGAUAUUGGUGGAGGCAUGCC